rnacentral:lncRNA from 1 species
UCACACCUAAACUAUCAUAGUGUCCUAAUACACAUCUAAACUAAAAAAAAAUGAAACUAUUUCCACCCCAAAACGUAAGAACCGGUCACAUGAUGGAGAGUGAUUUACACUCGCACCACAUUAUUGCCAUGUCAUUAACACAUAAGAUAUUAUGUCAAUUUUUUUAAAAGAAAAGUCCACGUCACUCAUUGCUUCUUCUUCGCCAAAAUUACCAUUUAAAC